GAGAGUGUAGCUCAGUGGUAGAGUACAUGCUUAGCAUGCACAAGGUCCUGGGUUAAAUCCCCAGUAUUUCCA
rnacentral:tRNA from 1 species